GAGAGACUUUUGUACAGGCAUUGUAAGGACAGCUCACGUGAUGUAAACAAGGGUCCUUAGGAAACCGGCGCAUGUUUUGUAUCGGAGGUCUGCACUGUCAAAACAACAUUGUCGUCCAGAAAUGGGACAUGCCUGCUGAUCUUCAGGCCAUCGCAGUGAAACAAGUGUUGAUGUAUGACACUCAGGCUAUUGACCCUCUUGUGUUCACCUACCCCAUAGUGUCCAGGGAGCAGUGGAAAGUUGAAACCCCGCACCCAACCAAUCAACCCACCCACCAAAUGUCUUUAGACAGUGAAAACAAGCGACUCAGUUCAUGAGUCACAGAUACACACGGCCCUUCUGCAAGGAAGACAAUGAGUAACGCCUAAUCCACCUGUUAUCACGUAAACUUCAGAAUAUGGCUUUGUUGUGACCUUGUGAACAGUGGCAAUGUCUCAGACAGCUCCAUCCCCAAUCUACACCUUGAGGGGUGCCAGUGGAGCCUUCAACACCAUCCACUUCAGCUGCCGUGGAGGGGACAGUCCCCUCCUCUUCUCUGGAUCAGCGAAGGGUGCCAUCCAUAUGUGGAAUUUGAACAAUAGGAGGGCAGAGAGAAUCAUAGAAGGUCAUUCUGGGAGUUCAGUUCUCUGGGUCAAUACACUUCACUCAGCAGAUACACUUAUUAGUCAGGGACGGGACACGAGGGUCUGUCUUUGGAAUCUGAGUCAAGGUCGCAGUGAGCUGAUGGACUCUCUGAGUACAGGAAGUGUUGGAUUCUGUCAGUGCUCCUUGCUGGAGACAGGAAUGAAGACCUGCCUGCUUGCCUUUGCAGGACAGCAAACUGAGGAGCUCAAGAUUGUUGAGCUACCCAGUAAGACUCUGGUGUGCAGUCUGAUACCAGAUUCGAAAGUGGGGAUGGUGAUGUGUGUCAAGCUGUGGCAGCCACAAUCAGGUCCUGGACCCCUCUUGCUGGCCGGGUAUGAGGACGGAUCACUGUUGUUAUGGGACAUAACCCAGAGGUCCAUAUUGAGCCAAACCAAAGUCCACCUCGAGCCUGUCAUGUGCCUGACCUUCGACCCAGAAAGUCUGAGGGGCAUAUCUGCUUCUUCAGAGAAUAAACUUUCCUCAUGGAUGCUGGAUGGGCAAAACAACCUGCAGCUCCGAGACUGUGUGACUCUAACCAACCCUGGUGUUUCCCAGCUGAGUAUUAGAGGAGAUGGCAAAUUGUUAGCAUCAGCAGGCUGGGACCACCGCGUACGGAUAUUUGGCUGGAAGAAGCUUCGACCGCUUGCUGUAUUGCAGUAUCACAGUGACAUGGUGCUCAGCGUUGCAUUCUCCGACCACAAGGACCCCAGACAAAGACUUCUUGCUGCUGGAUCCAAAGACCAACGCAUCAGCUUCUGGUCGAUAUACAAUGACGGAUCUCACACAGUAUAGAUUUGGGGAAAAAUAUAAAAUUGAACAUAUUGUGACGUAGAACAGGAGUUCUUAACCUUUUCAACCUUGAGGUACAAUUUUUCCUUUACAAAAUGGCCCAGGGCUCAAUCAAAAAUUAUGAUUUGUGUUGAGACUGACAAAGUAUAAUGUUCCUGCACACAAGUCUGUGCUUGCAAUAGCUGCUGUUCAUGACUGUGGAUUUGAACUGCUUGAUCAACCUUCUUUUUCUCCUGAUAUGGCAGCCUCCGACUAUUCUUUCUUUGCUCCCUAACAUGGGGGCGAAGCACUAACUGGCCAAUGAUGAGGUCCUAUUUGCUCAUUGAGGACUUUUUAGACUGAGAGUUUCCGUUUCACAAGUAUACGAGAGCUGCAACACCAAUGGAAAAGUGUGCUUAUGCAGGAGAGCUGAUGUUGACAAUAAAACAAAUUCGGUUAAAUUCAGCCUAGGAACUUCUUGUCGGUCAUUUUAUAUCCUGAUAUUGAUACUGUAUAUGUAUCUCAAAACAUUUUUACAAUUACAAUUUUUCCUUCCAAUGGUUUUAUUUUAUCAGUCUCUGACUUGCACCCUCAAUUCCAAUACAUUAAUAAUGGCCAAAGAUAGAACCCAGGAGAGGUUUUUUUGCCCGUCAUUACUCUGAGCCCUCGCUGGCUGGGACCAACUUCAUCUGUCAGGCCAGCUAGCUAGCUCUCGCUAACCUAUUUAAUGAAGAAUUGUGAAGUCAGGCGUCUCGCUUCUGCACUUCGUCUCGCCUGUGUAUUGGAGCAUGAAAUAUACAAAUUCAGCAAUGUUGACUAUAAAUUAAUGGCCAUGGAUUGCAAAAUAAAAUCAAGAUAAAG